UACGAAGGGGGCUAGCGUUGCUCGGAAUGACUGGGCGUAAAGGGCGCGUAGGCGGACGGCUUUGUCGGGCGUGAAAUUCCAGGGCUUAACCUUGGGGCUGCGUUCGAGACGGGUUGUCUAGAGUUUGGAAGAGGGUCGUGGAAUUCCCAGUGUAGAGGUGAAAUUCGUAGAUAUUGGGAAGAACACCGGUGGCGAAGGCGGCGACCUGGUCCUUGACUGACGCUGAGGCGCGAAAGCGUGGGUAGCAAACAGG
rnacentral:rRNA from 1 species